AUUCCAUCAUCCAUAGAUAUUUUUUGCCCCAAACAAAACCAAUUGAGAACAAAACAAAACCCUAAUCUCACUCUCAUCUCACUGAGGGAGAGCUCUCUUCAUCUUCUUAUCUCAUCUCUCUCGUUUUUCAUCUGCGACGUUCGACCUUCGCAAUGACUGUCUUUUUCUCUCCGGCAACUCUGAGGCAAUCAGAUCUGUCUCACCCUCUCUCGUUUUUCAGCUGCACAACUCGCACCGAUCGACCUUCAUCUUCUUAUCUCUCUCUUCUCGAUCUGUGUUUUUGUUUUUGACUGCAAGUUUGGGUCUAUUAAAAUAAUAAUAAUAAAUAAACAAGUCUUUGGUUUACAUUUGCAAGUAAACUUUAAUUUGAGUACCCGCAUAUACGCUUUGCUGUUUUUGUUUCAAAAUUUCGUUCAUAGUCUGAUCUAAACAAUUUGUUUGAUUAGAAGUUCUACAAUUUGUUCAUGAGAAGUGUAUAUUGUGUUUGAAUUUUCAUUUGUUAAAAAAAUAAGUAAUAAAAUUGUUGGGGGAAAUAAAAAGUGAAAACAAAUUUACUUCACAAAGUGUACAAAGAAACUGGAUCUUAAGUUUUUUUCCAUUUAAAAAAUAAAAUUUGAUUUGUUAAUAAUUCGUAGGGUGUGUUUCACGCUAACUUUUCUUGGUGUAAGAAAAAGCUGAUGAGUUCAAAAUCUUAUGAAUCUCAAAGAAAUCAUAUGAUAUUGCCAAAGUGGAUUGAAUUUGGUGGGUGGGUUUGUCUGUUUGAAUUUUAAUUGAAUUUUAGAAGUGGAUAUUGAAUCUGAAAUUUGCUAUUUUGGUUCUGCUAUUCUGCUGCUAUUAUGUUAUAUUUAAAUUGAGUCUGAAUUUUUUUCUUCAAA